UUCUCUGGCUGCUGGGGAGAGGGAGACAGUGGAGGGAGUGGUUUGCACGCCCUAUAUAAAGGGAGAGGUGACUGGCUGGGGGACCGGGCUCCUGGAGGCACUCAGAACUUGUCGGGAAGACCGGAAGUGACGAGCAGCGGGAAAGGCGCCCCCCGCCCCAGCUGGUUCCCGGCUAAUGCCAAAGUCCCACAAGCCUUUGCUGCAACAGAGGCACAAUCAGGCGCCCUCCCAACACUGUCCGAAGAAGGAAAUGAAUCUCUUCCAGCAACACUCGCUGCUCUUCGCCUCAGCAAGAGGGCACGUGAAAAUGCCCCCAAACGUGUCAGUGGGAGACAAGGACCCCGUUAACCUCUGCAAGAACAUCAACUCGCUGACGCUGAACCCUCCGCUGCCGGAAGAAAAUGGGAGCCGAGAAAACACGAAGGGCCCCGAGAGCAGCCUGUUCGCCCACUACGAGGAUAAGGUCCGCCCCUGCAUCGACCUCAUCGACUCUCUGCGGGCCCUGGGCGUGGAGCAGGACCUGGCCCUGCCCGCCAUCGCGGUCAUCGGGGACCAGAGCUCGGGCAAGAGCUCCGUGCUGGAGGCCCUGUCGGGCGUCGCCCUCCCCAGAGGCAGCGGAAUCACGACCAGGUGUCCGCUGGAGCUGAAGCUGAAGAAGCAGCUCUCGUGCGAGGCCCCGUGGAGCGGGAAGAUCAGCUACCGGGACACGGAGCUCCAGAUCCAGGCCCCGCUGCAGGUGGAGAAGGAAAUACACAGAGCCCAGAACAUCAUAGCCGGGAACGGUGUUGGCAUCAGCCACGAGCUCAUCAGCCUGGAGAUCACCUCACCCGAGGUCCCCGAUCUGACCCUCAUCGACCUCCCCGGCAUCGCCAGGGUGGCCGUGGGCAAUCAGCCCCAGGACAUCGGGGCACAGAUCAAGGCGCUCAUCAGGAAGUACAUCCAGAGGCAGCAGACCAUCAACCUGGUGGUGGUGCCCUGCAACGUGGACAUCGCCACCACGGAGGCCCUGAGCAUGGCUCAGGAGGUGGACCCCGACGGAGACAGGACCAUCGGGAUCCUGACCAAGCCGGACCUGGUGGACAAGGGCACCGAAAAAAUGGUCGUGAACGUGGUGCAGAACCUCACGUACCGCCUCAAGAAGGGCUACAUGAUCGUGAGGUGCCGGGGCCAGCAGGAGGUCGCAGACAGGCUGAGCUUGGCGGAGGCCACCAGGAAAGAAACGAUGUUCUUCCAGGCACACCCCUAUUUCAGAGCCCUCCUGGAGGAAGGAAAGGCCACAGUGCCCCGUCUGGCGGAAAGACUUACCAUCGAGCUCAUCACGCACAUCACUAAAUCGCUCCCGUUACUGGAAAGUCAAAUACGGGAAUGCCACCAGAGUGCGACGGACGAGCUGCGCCAGUGCGGGGAGCACAUCCCCAGCAGUGACAGCGACAGAAUGUUCUUUCUGAUUGAGAAAAUUAAAAUGUUUAAUCGGGACAUUGAGAAGCUGGUAGAAGGAGAGGAAGUCGUAAAGGAGAAAGAGACUCGCUUAUACAACAAACUCAGAGAGGAGUUUAAAGCCUGGGUCUUGGUCCUCGCAGCCAACACCCAAAAAGUUAAAAAUACGGUUCACCAAGAAAUUUCAAAAUACGAAAAGCAGUAUCGCGGCAAAGAGCUUCCGGGGUUUGUCAACUACAAGACAUUCGAGAUCAUCGUGCAGCAGUACUUGCAGCAGCUGGUGGACCCCGCCCUGGAAAUGCUGCAGAAGGCUGUCGAAAUCGUCCGGCAAACUUUCGUCGACACAGCCAGAAACCAUUUUGGCGAAUUUUCCAACCUUAAUAAAACAGUCCAGAGCAGGAUCGAAGAAAUAAAAAUCAAACGGGCGGAAACCGCGGACUCCGUGAUCCGCCUGCAGUUCAGGAUGGAGCAGCAGGUCUACUGUCAAGACCAGAUUUACAGCAGGCUUCUGGAAAAGGCCCGAGAAGACGCGAAUUCGCCUGGCAAGACUGCCCCGUUGCAAUUUCCUUUAUCGAAUGACGUGGCUUCGGUUUCCUCCAUCACUGAAAUCGGGGUGCACCUGAAUGCCUACUUCUUGAUGUGGUGUCGCGCGGUCAGCUUCGUGGCUCCUAACCCUCACCCAGUGUGGACGAAAGCGCGGGGGCACACAGAGGGAAGAUGGCUUUGAAACCGCAAGGAAGCCUGACCCUGAAGCCUGUCCUUAAUCGGAACAGAAAGAACAGCCACCCAGGAAACCAGCAACCGCCUGGCCAACCAGAUCCCGUUCAUCAUCCAGUAUUUUAUGCUCCAAGAGAACAGCGACUAUCUGCAGAAGGCCAUGAUGCAGAUGCUGCAAGAGAGGGAGCAUUACACGUGGCUGCUGC